GUUAAAGCAGAAAGCAGCACAGCAGGCAGCCUCUUCCAGUGGGCAGGGUCAGCAGGCCCAAACCCCCACAGGUUUCUAAGCAUGAAUUGAGGAACAGAAGAAGCAGAGCAGAUGAUCGGAGCAGCAUUUGUUUCUCCCCAAAUCUAGAAAUUUUAGUUCAUAUGUACACUAGCCAGUGGUUGUGGACAACCAUUUACUUGGUGUAAAGAACUUAAUUUCAGUAUAAACUGACUCUGGGCAGCAUUGGUGAUGCUGUAUCCUGAGUUGUAGCCUCUGUAAUUGUGAAUAUUAACUGAGAUAGUGAAACAUGGUGUCCGGUUUUCUAUUGCAUUUUUUCAAGUGGAAAAGUUAACUAAAUGGUUGACACACAAAAAUUGGUGGAGAAAUUGUGCAUAUGCCAAUUUUUUGUUAAAACCUUUUGUUUUGAACUAUACUGCUUUGAGAUCUCAUUUCAGAAGAACGGCAUGAACAGUCUUCAGCCACAGUUGUGAUGGUUGUUAAAUGCUCACAAUUGUGCAUUCUUAGGGUUUUUCCAUCCCUGGGGUUUGCAAGUUGUUCACUUAAAACAUUCUUAAAAUGGUUGGCUUCUUGUCUGCAAGCCAGCUGAUAUGGUAGCAACCAAAGAUUCCAGUGUUUGAGCAUAUGAAAGACUCUGCCUGCUUAAUUGUGCUAGAAAUAACAGCAUCUAAAGUGAAGACUUAAGAAAAACUUAGUGACUACUAGAUUAUCCUUAGGACUCUGCAUUAACUCUAUAAUGUUCUUGGUAUUAAAAAAAAAGCAUAUUUGUCACAGAAAUUUAGUUAACAUCUUACAACUGAACAUGUAUGUAUGUUGCUUAGAUAAAUGUAAUCACUGUAAACAUCUAUAUGAUCUGGGAUUUUGUUUUUAUUUUGAAAUGGGAGCUUUUUUGUUUACAAGUUCAUUAAAAACUAAAAACUGUUUCUGUAAGGAAAUGAGAUUUUUUUUAAACAACAAAAAAUGCCUUGCUGACUCACUAUUAAAUAAAAAUCUCCCCAAUUUUUUGAUAGACUACUUCAAGCCAUUUGUUACAUGGUAUUCCUUUGCAAGUCAAUUUAGGUUUCGUGUUAUAACUUUUCCUCUUUUUUUAAGAAAAAUGAAAAAAGUAAUUCUUUUGUCUGAAGGGGAAAGGCAUUCUUUCAUUUUUUUCUUUUUUUUUUUUUUUUUUUAUGACUUGCAGGCACAAUAUCUAGUACUGCAACUGCCAGAACUUGGUAUUGUAGCUGCUGCCCGCUGACUAGCAGCUGGACUGAUUUUGAAUAAAAAUGAAAGCAUUAAAGGGUUUCCCUACAAAACAUUUUUCUUUAAAAUACUUUUGAAAUGGCUAUAAGCAGUUGACUUUCACCCUUGGAGAGCAUCACACUGUGUGAGGUUCAGUGAUUGUUGACCCUCCCCAGCCCCUCCUGCUUCUUUAAGUUAUCUGUGUGCGUGCGCUUCCUCUCAAUCUUCUUUGCACGCUCAUUUCUUUUUCUCUGACCCAUGAGAAAGGAAAACUUACUGAUGAUAAUUUUUAAAUAGUGUAAUUUAUUCAUUUAUAGCAUGUCAGGAUAAAUUAAAAGAACAUUUGUCUGGAAAUGCUGCCGGGAGCCUAUUGUGUAAAUGUAGGUAUUUUGUAAAAUAACCUUGAAAUUGUAAAUUGACACGUGUUUGGUCAGAUUGUGUCAAGUUUAAUUUGUUUUGUUUUCUUUUUUCUUUUUUUUAUUUGAAAACUACUUUAGCAAUAAUUAAUUCCAUGAUUAUCACAUUCUGCCAUUAAGGGAUAUUAGUACCGUAAUACUGAAGAAAUUUUAUUAAGUCUGAACUUCUGGGGUAGGCAGCUUCUUUGUUUCUUUUCUAUCCACCCUUGUCGGUUGAGG
rnacentral:lncRNA from 1 species